AUUGAACGCUGGCGGCAGGCUUAACACAUGCAAGUCGAACGAGUGGCGGACGGGUGAGUAAUGCUUGGGAAUCUUGCUUAUGGCGGGGAAUAAAUACGGGAAACUGUAGCUAAUACCGCAUACCAUGGGAUGAGCCCAUGUGGGAUUAGGUAGUUGGUGAGGUAAAGGCUCACCAAGCCGACGAUCCAUAGCUGGUCUGAGAGGAUGACCAGCCACACUGGGACUGAGACACGGCCCAGACUCCUACGGGAGGCAGCAGUGGGGAAGAUUGCGCAAUGGGGGCAACCUGAUGCAGCCAGGCCGCGUGAAUGAAGAAGGCCGUCGGGUUGUAAAGUUCUUUCGGUAGCGAGGCGUUAUCUACAGAAGAAGCACCGGCUAACUCCGUGCCAGCAGCCGCGGUAAUAC
rnacentral:rRNA from 1 species